CCAGCCUGCCCAGUGACCUAGUUCAACGGCCACGGUACCCUAACCGUGCGAAGGUAGCAUAAUCACUUGUUCUUUAAAUGAGGACUUGUAUCAACGGCACCACGAGGGCUCUACUGUCUCCUUUCUCUAAUCAGUGAAACUAAUCUCCCCGUGAAGAAGCGGAGAUACCACCAUAAGACGAGAAGACCCCAUGGAGCUUUAAACCCAACUACACCCCUACUUUCCAUACCCACUCAAUCAACAGGACCCUGUACACUUGGUUUUAGGUUGGGGUGACCGCGGAGUAAAAUUAAACCUCCACAAUGAACGAGAAUAAUCUCUUAUCUAAGAACCACACCUCUAAGAAUUAGCACACUAACAUAAAAUGAUCCGAUAAUCGAUCAACGAACCAAGUUACCCUGGGGAUAACAGCGCAAUCCAUUUCAAGAGCCCCUAUCGACAAAUGGGUUUACGACCUCGAUGUUGGAUCAGGAUAUCCCAGUGGUGCAGCAGCUACUAAAGGUUCGUUUGUUCAACGAUUAAAGUCCU
rnacentral:rRNA from 1 species